AUGAAGAAUGCAAGUUUGCCUCCUGGGGUGGCAGUCCUGCGGUGUUGGUGUGGCGAUCUUUGCAAGGUGAAGGAGGUGAUGGAUUUUUCAGAUUGGUUGGGCAUGAAGUUUUUCAUGUGCGCCAAUUAUGAGGAAGAUCCUGCCGUAGCUAUUUCAGAGUACGACAAGCCUCCGGUAUGCUUUAACCAUCACGAAUAG
rnacentral:rRNA from 1 species